rnacentral:lncRNA from 1 species
CUGUCUAAAGAGUUGUCUCUCUCUUUUUCAGGAGGAGGAGGAAGAAGAUCCGGGCUGCCCUGAGCAUAGGAGGCUUCAGGGGGAUCGCAGCUUAUUUUCCCGAAGGCUGGUGUAGCUUUAAGUUCUUAUGUCUGCCAGCAGCCUUUCAAAUUGGCUACUGCCACCCCUGUCUGUGUGUUACAUAAAUCCUCACCGCGAUCUGCAGAGACAAGAAGCAAUUAGGCGAGCGAGGAUUUAUAAGGAUGGUGAAGAGUGGAGAGGGGUUCCCAGCAAAGGAUUUAGCAUGAGUAAAAUCAAGGAAGGAUAGAAGAACCGUCCUGAGCUGCAGGAGGUUUGAGAAGGAGAAUACUGAGAGCCCCACCUCCAACACUGGGAACUGAACAUGAGAUUUGUGUGGGGACACAGAUCCAAACCAUACCACUGUCCAAUUAGAAGGAUAAUUCAUUCAUGCAUGAAGGAUUAUAAGG